GACGAACGCUGGCGGCGUGCUUAACACAUGCAAGUCGAACGGAAAGGCCCUGCUUUUGUGGGGUGCUCGAGUGGCGAACGGGUGAGUAACACGUGAGUAACCUGCCCUUGACUUUGGGAUAACUUCAGGAAACUGGGGCUAAUACCGGAUAGGAGCUCCUGCUGCAUGGUGGGGGUUGGAAAGUUUCGGCGGUUGGGGAUGGACUCGCGGCUUAUCAGCUUGUUGGUGGGGUAGUGGCUUACCAAGGCUUUGACGGGUAGCCGGCCUGAGAGGGUGACCGGGCAGAGUGGGAUGGAGAUGCGGGCGAGACGGAGGCGGGAGGCAGCAGGGGGGAAUAGGGGAGGAGGGGCGGAAGGUUGAUGCAGCAGCGGCGAGGGGGGGAUGAGGGAGUGAGGGUUGUAAAAAGCGGAAGGCUGGGAAGAAGCGUGAGAGAAGGGAAGGGGGAAAGAAGCACAGGAUACGUAUGUG
rnacentral:rRNA from 1 species